rnacentral:rRNA from 1 species
GAUGAACGCUGGCGGCGUGCCUAAUACAUGCAAGUCGAGCGAACAGAUGAGGAGCUUGCUCCUCUGACGUUAGCGGCGGACGGGUGAGUAACACGUGGAUAACCUACCUAUAAGACUGGGAUAACUUCGGGAAACCGGAGCUAAUACCGGAUAAUAUUUUGAACCGCAUGGUUCAAUAGUGAAAGACGGUUUUGCUGUCACUUAUAGAUGGAUCCGCGCCGCAUUAGCUAGUUGGUAAGGUAACGGCUUACCAAGGCGACGAUGCAUAGCCGACCUGAGAGGGUGAUCGGCCACACUGGAACUGAGACACGGUCCAGACUCCUACGGGAGGCAGCAGUAGGGAAUCUUCCGCAAUGGGCGAAAGCCUGACGGAGCAACGCCGCGGGAGUGAUGAAGGUCUUCGGAUCGUAAAACUCUGUUAUUAGGGAAGAACAAAUGUGUAAGUAACUGUGCACAUCUUGACGGGACCUAAUCAGAAAGCCACGGCUAACUACGUG